UGGGCGUAAGCGCACGCAGGCGGUCUGUCAAGUCGGAUGUGAAAUCCCCGGGCUCAACCUGGGAACUGCAUUCGAAACUGGCAGGCUAGAGUCUUGUAGAGGGGGGUAGAAUUCCAGGUGUAGCGGUGAAAUGCGUAGAGAUCUGGAGGAAUACCGGUGGCGAAGGCGGCCCCCUGGACAAAGACUGACGCUCAGGUGCGAAAGCGUGGGGAGCAAACAGGAUUAGAUACCCUGGUAGUCCACGCCGUAAACGAUGUCGAUUUGGAGGUUGUGCCCUUGAGGCGUGGCUUCCGGAGCUAACGCGUUAAAUCGACCGCCUGGGGAGUACGGCCGCAAGGUUAAAACUCAAAUGAAUUGACGGGGGCCCGCACAAGCGGUGGAGCAUGUGGUUUAAUUCGAUGCAACGCGAAGAACCUUACCUGGUCUUGACAUCCACAGAACUUUCCAGAGAUGGAUUGGUGCCUUCGGGAACUGUGAGACAGGUGCUGCAUGGCUGUCGUCAGCUCGUGUUGUGAAAUGUUGGGUUAAGUCCCGCAACGAGCGCAACCCUUAUCCUUUGUUGCCAGCGGUUAGGCCGGGAACUCAAAGGAGACUGCCAGUGAUAAACUGGAGGAAGGUGGGGAUGACGUCAAGUCAUCA
rnacentral:rRNA from 1 species